rnacentral:snRNA from 1 species
GGAUGUGAGGGCGAUCUGGCUGCGACAUCUGUCACCCCAUUGAUUGCCAGGGUUGAUUCGGCUAUCUGGCUGGCUAGGUGGGUGUCCCCUUCCUCCCUCACCACUCCACGUGCAUCCCUCCCAAAGCUGCACGUUUGGUCGAAGAGGACGACCUCCCCUGAUAGAGGAGGACCAUUGGUCAGUCAAGGGUAUACAAGUAGCUGCGCUCCCCUGCUAGAACCUCCAAACAAGCUCUCAAGAAACAAAAUUUGCUAAAAUUAAACACCUGUUUCUUUUUUUUUUUUUAAUUUUUUUUUCAACGUUCAUU